CGGGGACAGAGCGACAGCGGGGACAGAGCGACAGCCAUGGGACCGACAGCGCCGCUCCCGGCGCUCGCCGUUGUCACCGCUCUGCUGGCGGCCACCACCAUGGCCCAGGGUGCCGCGGGUCCCCUGCAGGUGGCGCUGUCGGCGGAGGGACAGACCCCGGAGCCGCCCGGUCCCGCCCGGCUGGAGGCGUCAGGAGAGAGUGA